rnacentral:tRNA from 1 species
GGCGCUGCGGCUUAGCGGUAAAAGCGCCUGUCUUGUAAACAGGAGAUCCCCGGUUCAAAUCCGGGCAGUGCCU